rnacentral:rRNA from 1 species
CUGUGAUGCCCUUAGAUGUUCUGGGCCGCACGCGCGCUACACUGACGAUGUCAGAGAGCGUCUCCUUCACCGAGAGGUGUGGGUAAUCUUUUAAACAUCGUCGUGCUGGGGAUAGAUCAUUGCAAUUUUUGAUCUUAAACGAGGAAUUCCUAGUAAGCGCGAGUCAUCAGCUCGCGCUGAUUACGUCCCUGCCCUCUGUACACACCGCCCGUCGCUACUACCGAUUGAAUG